AUGGAUCAGCGUGGAUUUGUGCGCAAGUCCAUCGUCCGGAUCUCCUUCAAGUGGCCGAAUCCUGACAACAAGGGGAAGAUACUGACCGUCGUCCUCCCCGGCACCAUCGUCUCCAUCAAGGACGAUGGAUCCUGCGUCGUGCUCGCGGAUGACACAUUCUUCGGACAGGAGAACUGCCCUUUCGUGGUGAAUCUGCCGACUGCCGGGGGAUACGAUGGUGUGCCAGUGGCUCCAUCGAUGCAGUUCUUCGUAGAUGGCUUCUGUGCAUUGGUUCUUCAGGUGCAACCAAAUGGUUAUGUGCAACCGGUGACAUUUGAGACUGGGCCUGUUCGACGAGAGGAGAAAGUGUAUGGCUUUCUAUUUCCACAGGAGGAUUUCUUCACGCCAACAAUGUAUUGUCCAGGAAACGUCACGUCUAGGAUUUCUUUAAGCGGUGGAGACUACAAAUAUUUUACACGACACUGGGCCUAUUCUCGUACUGCGACGGAAUGCAUGAGCGGGACAGCGGAACAUGCAUCGAUCGAUGGAGGAACAGGCCCAUUGGCAAAUUGGAGGCAUGGUAUUCCUUUUCAUUCAUUUGGUCGUUUCGGAUCACCUAUAUUCAACCAAAGCGGUCAUCUUGUUGGGAUAUCUUAUCAAGAUUACGAGGCAUGGUCCGUGAAGUUCCUGCAACAAGCUGUCUUUAGGGAAGCGGAGAUCAGCAGUGCAUUGGGUAGUGUUUCCUAUGUACUGAACGGAAACCCAAUUCCCCGCGAAGUCCCAAUUCUGCCCGUCUAG
rnacentral:rRNA from 1 species